ACUCAAUGACUUUAUUAAUAAUAUAUGAUUUCAAAAUAAAAAAUAACAUUAAAAUAACAUUUUUGUACUUAACACAACUUGCAUUGUAUGGCCACAUGGUGGCAUCGUAUGCCAAGUUUAAAAUACCAAAUCGUGUUGUUCUGCCGUUCAGCCCAUGGUAGCACUUUAUCACCCCUUCCCGCCAGCAAACCCUGCUUUGACAAAUAAAGCUUACACGUUCCCUGUCACAAACUAGGUUUCCAUCCAAUUGGCGACAGAUUUUCAUGCGAAUAUUCUAAAAUCCGCAUAAAAGCAGUAUGUUCAUUUUCCCACCAGAGAUGCGUUACCAUCAAAUGGACUCACAUUCAAACAAAUUCCCAUGUACCGAAUAAAAGUUUCCAUUUGAAACUCUACUGAAGGUUUUAACAAAGCAUUUUGCGUUAUAUAGCGAGUGUGCCCAAUCUGGUAUUGACACCUGAGCUCUAGCCGAGGGGUUCCCAAACUCGGUCUGUUGUGGCCCAGGACAAGCAAACUUGAUACUACUUGUCAACUAAUCAUCAAGUCCUUGACUAAUUGAAUCAGGUGUUUUUGUCCGGGACUACAAUAAAAGUGUGACGUUGGGGGUACUGGAGGACCGGAGUUGGGAAACACUGGUCUAAAAUAAUUAUUAAUUUAAUCUGUAAUUUAAUAAACGGCUUGCUUUCCUGACGAAUCGUAGAGGGAGAACCACACGUCAUCGCGUGACUCCAGAUGUCUUAAUCAAUAUUUGCGCAUAAAUGAGUUUCCAGAUACAUUUCGUUCAUAAUUCAUUUUACCUACACACAAAUAUCCCACCUUGUCCAGCGUAUUUUGUUUUGUCGACAUUUGUCAAGUUUACCGGAAAAGGUUCUGUCUCCAUUAGACUGGUCAUGAUGUUUUUUUAUCCGAUAUGUACUUUACUCGCAUAAAAAAAUUGGAUGGAAACCUGGUUAGAGACACUUAUAAUAACCACUGAUACAGAAAACGACCCACUGCCCAUGCCAUCUCACAUUCCUAAGGAACAGUCACCAUUCGUUGCUUUUUUGUAUUUUUUUUCCUGUUAAAAUUCAGAUUAGAUGAUCUACUUUUGCUUAUCAUACAUUUAAAUGUGUAUAUAUAUAUAUAUAUAUAUAUAUAUAGUUUGAAGUUUUGGCAUGGUAUCUCUUCCUAUGGUGUUCUUAUUUAAGAGGUUAAGGGGUCGAAAUUGGAUAAAAAUACAGAGAUAUAUUGAAGGGGGGGGGUGACAGUUUAUGCCUGGGCUUCGUAACCAUACCUCAUAGAGUACGGACAAAUAGAACGCUGCCUCACUUUGAGUUAAAAACACUCAAAUUAUAAUAGGACAUACACAUAAAAAUACUUAUUCUCACUGAAAAGUCCACCUUUUCCUGCUUGAUAUAAUUAUACUGGAUGAUAUCGACAUGAUUAGCUCAUACAUCAAACAUAUUCCCAACACCUGUUCCAUGGUGUUCAACUGCAACAACUAUGAUACACAAUACAACAUUUAGGGAAGUUUUCCUUGACGCAACACUAGAAUUAACAGAACUGACAGCAUGUUUCUGUAUGUAUAAUGACAAAACAUGCCAAUACAAAUAAAAACAAUUAAAUAAGAAUUUUAAAAAACGUUGGCAAAAAUCUAUUUGUAUUGCAUGUAAAUAUUGUAUAAAAUUCUUAAAAAUACAGUUUAGAUAAUUACUUAAGUACUUAAGUCACCACAGCCAAAAGUGCAGAGGUACAUAAAUAAAAGAUUGACUGUUCGUAGAUGGUAGAUGGGGUUCUCUCUGGGAGAGCUGCACAGGGCUCCCUGCCACUCACCCCUUUAGCGGCCCUUCCCCCUCCCCAACUGCGCCCAAACUCCAUGACAAGGGAAAAACUGAGCGCCCCCGGUCAAGGGGUAGAGUUCAUGAACUAGGACUUGGGAGUUAAAAGUUCACACCCACACACAAGAGGACAGCAACGUUCUCUUUUUCCACUCGCUUGACACACACAAUCUAUCACACUCACAGAUGCAAAUUCAUCUUAAAAAUCACUUGCGGGGACUUGUGUUGACAUAGGCACACCCAGACAAAUAAAAGGGUGGUGGACAGAGCAGAGUGGAUGCUGAGAGGAAAAUAAGGCGGUUGUUGUUUCACUCUAGAACAGAACCACACAUUCAGAGUCCUUAACACCACAGCACCCUCACAGAGGAGAAGGGCCAGAGAGGUGAGUGUGCACUUUGCAGAGGCAGGCAACAGAAUGGACAUAACUAUUAAAGCUAUUAGCAUUAGAAUAAAUACAACUGUUCACAAGGUGAAACAGAAAGAAAAGUGAGGGGGGAAUGAAGCAGGGAGGGGAUCAGCCAAAGAGAGAAGAGACAGCCCAUUAGUCUGAGUGUGAAACCACAGUGGCUAGAGGGACCACAGUAAGAGGAACAUGUCUAGCAGAUUGACUGAGUGAUAGGCCUGGUCUGGCACUGUCCCUAUUCAUAAUGAUAGGCCUGGUCUGGCACUGUCCCUAUUCAUAAUGAUAGGCCUGGUCUGGCACUGUCCCUAUUCAUAAUGAUAGGCCUGGUCUGGCACUGUCCCUAUUCAUAAUGAUAGGCCUGGUCUGGCACUGUCCCUUUCCAUAACGAUAGGCCUGGUCUGGCACUGUCCCUAUUCAUAAUGAUAGGCCUGGUCUGGCACUGUCCCUUUCCAUAAUGAUAGGCCUGGUCUGGCACUGUCCCUUUCCAUAAUGAUAGGCCUGGUCUGGCACUGUCCCUUUCCAUAAUGAUAGGCCUGGUCUGGCACUGUCCCUUUCCAUAAUGAUAGGCCUGGUCUGGCACUGUCCCUUUCCAUAAUGAUAGGCCUGGUCUGGCACUGUCCCUUUCCAUAAUGAUAGGCCUGGUCUGGCACUGUCCAUUUCCAUAAUGAUAUGUCUGGUCUGGCACAGCCCCUUUCCAUAGAAAACUACAGCUCAGACAACAGAACAUGAGCUAUACAACCAUUCAUAUUAAGAUCUGGAAAGAAAAGGCAAUCAUUUGGAGAAGACGCCUGAACAUCCCUAAAGGACCACUGCUAAUGCACAGUGUCUUAGGAUUUCUGGAAGGCUUAUGUUCCUUAUAACAGCAGAGAUAGAUCCCUGGAAGAAGCUUCAAAUCUGCAGACAAACCGCACGAGGAGCAUCAACUGAUUUCAAGAGAGGGCACUGUUAAGACAAAACUGGAGUUUCAGGCUUCCCAAUUAACAUUUAGUCAGAGGAAGGACUUUGCUCUUUAACCAGUGUCAGUGGACAGACAUAAAAGGCACUAAGAGGAUAGUAGAUUUGUUGCUAGCCCUAGAAAAUGAACAGGAAUACAUUCAUAGCUCACAGGUAUCUGGAAUGCAAUCCCAAAAAUACUCCAAACGUAUCAGUACAAAAAUUAAAUGUAAAAAAGCGUGGCCCCUUUUUUUUUCUUGGAUCUGGGAGACUAUGGCUACUUGUCACGGCUUUUUACCCCCCACCACUAAAAAGGCAAUUCAGAAAUGAUCCUUUCCCCAGAAAUUGAGCCCUUUCAUGCACAUCAAGAUAGAAGAGGGGAGGAGGGGGUGUCGAGGUUCAGCUUUCAAAGAGGAAGUGAAGGGAAACUGAACAGACAAGAGAUGAACCCCAUCUAAAACACACUACCACCAACAGGCCCGUACACAACUUAGUACCUGCAUGUGUGAAGACACUCUGGAAUGGGACCCAAAUGCCUCUCACAGUGUGUGUGUGUUUAAGGGCUGUUGCUUGUGCUCAAGCUUAAAGAGUCACUAACCAAAGAUAUCAUCCCCCUAAAACCUCUGAAAUACUCACCCAGACACUCACCCAGACACACACUCACUCACCCAGACACAGACACACACACACACACUCACCCAGACUCACCCAGACACACACACCCCCAGACACACACACACUCACCCAGAGACACACCCAGACUCACCCAGACACACACCCCCCACUCACCCAGACACACACACCCCCACUCACCCAGACACACACACACCC
ensembl:lncRNA